UGCGGGGUAGAGCAGCCAGGUAGCUCGUCGGGCUCAUAACCCGGAGGUCGCAGGUUCGAAUCCUGUCCCCGCUA
rnacentral:tRNA from 5 species